rnacentral:rRNA from 1 species
GAUGAACGCUGGCGGCGUGCCUAAUACAUGCAAGUCGAGCGAACGGACGAGAAGCUUGCUUCUCUGAUGUUAGCGGCGGACGGGUGAGUAACACGUGGAUAACCUACCUAUAAGACUGGGAUAACUUCGGGAAACCGGAGCUAAUACCGGAUGAUAUUUUGAACCGCAUGGUUCAAAAGUGAAAGACGGUCUUGCUGUCACUUAUAGAUGGAUCCGCGCUGCAUUAGCUAGUUGGUAAGGUAACGGCUUACCAAGGCAACGAUGCAUAGCCGACCUGAGAGGUGGAGCCGCCACCCGGGAACAGCACCCGGCCCAGGCCCCCGAGGGGGGCAGGAGGGGGGGAAUCUCCCGAAAGGGGCGAAAGCCGGAGGGACAAAGCCCGGGGGAGGGAUAGAGUUUUUCGGUUGUAAAAACUUUUUUUUGGGGAAAAAAAAUAGGUGUAAGAACAGUUGCACACCUGGAGGGCACUUAACAGAAAAGCCCCGGCAAACUACGCC